UAAGAGGUAUAUUAUCAAGUUAUGGCCCCUACACUACUAGUUGAACAUUAUAUUAAUGUAGUAGGAAUCAACUGAGCUAAUUCUUGAUGAAAAACAUAAAGAUGCAACAAGUAUAUCUUUUUCUUCAUUUGAACAUGAGGCCUUUUAUCCAACUUUUAAUACUUGAGAAGAUAAAAAGUGGGGUAAAAAUAUAUUGAAGUGUUUUAUCCCACUUUUACUCUUGUCGCAUGAAAUAUGUAGCUAGUUUUUUUGGAACAAGUUCCAUAUUUAGUUCUGAAUAAUAAAAAAAAUCAAACUAAAAAAAUUAGUUAACAAUAGCUUAACCAACCCAACAUGUCCCUUGUUGGCCUUUUAUCAUUGUUUGGACCAAGGGCCAUGUUUGGCUAGUCACAGAAUAAUGUGUUUUUGAAGCCUUUGUAAUUUGCACAAACCCAAUGAACUUAAAGUGUUUCACUAAAAACCGGUUUCAUAUAAAACAAACCCUUUUAACCCCAAGCCCCUUCCUCAUUUUAGCUAUUCUGGAAACCCCUCAGCUGCGCAGGUACUAUCGUGGAGCUUCCCAGGUUGUGUCCACUUCUAAGGGUUUAGCAUUUGCUGAUGAGUAUGGGAAAAACAAGGUCUUUCUAACGGUAAUUAGAUGUCACAACUUGUGUAAAUCUGAUAUGCGAAUUCUGGGUCUAUGCAAUGAUUAUAAAGUAUAAAAUUUUGAUAAUUAGGAUUUUUACCUCUCAAAUUUUAACAUGUGCCAAAUCAGGCCUCUUGAACUUUUUUGGCCGUUAAAAUUUUCUCUUAAACUAUUAAGAUUGUUAGAUUUAAGGACUUUUGUUUAAUUUCAUUGAAUUUUACUAUUUCAGUAAUUGUUUAUGUACUAAAUUCUAUUCCCCAGACUUUGAUAUUUACCAAAUUAUACCCAUCAAACUUUGAUAUACAUUAAAUCAUGUCCCCUGAACUUUCAUCCAUGUUAGACUUUUUUUACUAAAAUUAGAUAAAAGUCCUUAAAUCUAACAAUCUCAAUAAUUUAGAGAGCAAUUUUAACGACCUUAAAAGUUCAAGAGACAUGAUUCUAUACAUAUCAAAGUUGAUAACAUUCAAAAUUAGCCUUACAUAUAUUGCAGAGUGCCUAAGUCUCACUUUUUAAGAAAUGUAAUUAUGAUAUAGCCUUUUUAGUUUCAUGGUAUUCAAUUGAAUUUUAACAACACUACUUUGAUGAUUAUUUUAUUGUUAAUUCACUUUAAUUUCUCUAAGGUAAUCUGCUCAAUUUUUGUGGUGGUAUAAUGUUUGUUCUUUUAUUAUUUUUAAAAUGAACUGUUCCUAAGUUUAUAAUUAUGUGACAUUAAAUUUCCUAAUGUUAGCUUAUUAAUUGUAACAUGUAUACUGUUUUGUUGAGAUUACUUUUAGUACAUGUUUGUUAUUAAAAUCAAUUUGUUUCAUGCAGACAUAUACAAUAUAUAUAUAUAUAUAUAUAUAUAUUUUAACUUUUAAUUUUUAGAAUUGUUAUUUUAAUUUUGCCCAUAUGACAUGGCAUGUCGACGUGGGCAAGAUCGUUGCCACGUAGAGUACAACUUGUUAACAAGAAGGUCAAAUCAUCUACACAACACUUUAGUUGAUAGGAAGUCUGAGUGCUUGAGAGGGACGAAGAGACGAUGAACCGCCCACCCUGAGGGGACUAGCCAGCCACCCCUGGCGGGCCAUAUGGCUAGCAUAGGCUGGCCAGCCAGCCUGUAUCUGGCAGGCACUUGGCCAGCCAGCCUGCACCUGGCAGGCACUUGGUGCACAGCCUUCAUCCGAGACAAGCGAAGUUGCGAUUUGGCCUUCAACAACCCACGAAAUAGGGGAGAAAUAAAAGUUAUUCCUCUAUUCUUGAGGGAUAAUUAACCUUUUUAUUAUUUAUUAUUUAAUUAUGUAACAAAUACUUUAUAGUUCUUAUUUUUUAAGGAUAUUAGGUUAUUAAUCUCUUGUAAGGUUUACCAUAUAAAGAGCAUGAACCUAAUCCUAAUUCUUUUAAGUCUCUAAGCUCCUUAAAGUUCUCAAGCUCUAAGUUUAAAACCUUAACUUUAUAUCUUCCUCU